GAGUAGAUAGGACACGCCCCUUUGAGCUGCGUGCUACUGCGAGGCUAAGCUAGUGGGGGCAAAGUUUCAGUGCAUUCUGUUGAUGUAGACGGCGUGAAAACGGAAACAAGAAGUAUGCCGGCUCACUGUGCUGCAUACAAUUACACACUACGUCGUACGACUGAACAAGGAAACUUGGAAUGACUUUUCAUAGGUCCCUCUCUAUCUCCCCACACAUCCACCAACCACUGGAACACAUCUCCAAAGUUCUGCCGGGCCAGCUCAGCUUCCCCUCAGAAGAAGUUCCACCAGAUGAAGGAGCCUUUUGAGAGGCAGCUGACAUCAUGAUUGGACUGUACUUUGGUCUGUUCCAAUCCAGCUUCAGCUCCAGAGACGGCAGGCGGGACGAGUCAAUGGAGGCCGGGUGGACGAAGGCAUGCAGCUGAGUACAAUCCAGAAAACAACAGAGGAGGAGUGAAGCGGCCCAGGGCCAGAACAAACAGAGUAGCACAUUAUGUCUCUUAGAAAACAUCAUAGUAUAACCUUUGGGAUGAAAAAAACGCCAUCAUAUACAUCGUAUAUUGUACAAAUAACAAGUCAAAGGAAAGAGACAUCAACUGUAGAAUUGUAGUAAUUGUGGGCUGACUGAUUUACUGAUUAUCAGUAUUUUAUUUUUUACUGAUUUACGGUAAUAAAUACAUUUAAAAAUGGU